AGACUCUGUGCUGAGUUUGUGUUCCUUCCAGCUCCCUCGGAGUGGGUGGAUCAGUGCAGCCCAGCCCAGCCUGCCAUUUACUACAUCAUCUUCUGGCUUUCCUCAGCUGCACAGCAGAACAGUCUAGCUCAGCCUGCCAGCCUGCCUGUGCCAGUAGACCUCCUGCAUUCAUUCCAGCUCCCUCCGAGUGUUUGAGUGUCCUCCUCCAGCCAGCCGUUUCGCUCCCCUUCCGCUGGCUUCUCUCAGUAAUUCAGCUAGGUGGUCUAUCCCCUAACGCCAGCCUUUCUGCCACCCAGAUAGAGGGGUCCUGCAGGAACAGCCUGCCUAGUUGUGAUCAUCAGCUGGGAAGUAGGAACAGCAGCAUCUGCCUCUGGAGAACAGGCAGCUGCUGUGGGAAACAAUAUCAAUGGUCUGCAGAAAAUCAGGGAUGGAUUAGGAGGGAAGAGGCCCUGUGCUUCCGUUCCAAGGUUGGACUCCCCCAACUGUAUUCUAUCUCCCAUGAUGCACUACAGCCAUAGGAUUGCCAUGAUGCACUGCCUCCCCUCCUAAAGAGUAAAGACCAUGGAUGGUGUGAAAGUGAAGAGGAGAGUGGUCACGUUUGCAGCAGCCAUUACUAUUGUAAGGAUUCUACAAAAAGAGGAAUUUUGUUUGUUCCAAGAGGUCAUCUGCUUCUUCUCCAUAUUCCUAAUCUGAAAUGAAUGAUGUCAAAAUCCAGAGAUGUAAGAUGAAUUUUCUCAGUCAGUUUCCAAUCUGAAAGGCUCCAAAAUAGAGCAGCAAUAUUUGACUCCAUCUAAACUCCAUUCCAGAGCUUACUAUCAGCCAUGGGAAUUUACAAGCAUUCCAAAGAGGCUGAGGAAAUCCAGGAAACCACAAUGACAGCUCUACUUGAAAAGACCAUUAUAUGAUAGUGACUUGAGAGAGAAAAUGUAGCAUAUUUUACUCCAUUCAUGAAAGAUUAGAAAUAUCACUUAUAUUAAACUGUUUGGUUUAAUAAAUGAUUUGGUUUUAA